rnacentral:rRNA from 1 species
GCUCAGGAUGAACGCUAGCGGCAGGCUUAACACAUGCAAGUCGAGGGGUAACAGAGGAGCUUGCUCUUGCUGACGACCGGCGCACGGGUGCGUAACGCGUAUACAAUCUGCCUUACACUAAGGGAUAGCCCAGAGAAAUUUGGAUUAACACCUUAUAGUUUAUUUUUAUGGCAUCAUUUAAAUAAUAAAGUUUACGGUGUAAGAUGAGUAUGCGUCCCAUUAGUUUGUUGGUAAGGUAACGGCUUACCAAGACUACGAUGGGUAGGGGCCCUGAGAGGGGGAUCCCCCACACUGGUACUGAGACACGGACCAGACUCCUACGGGAGGCAGCAGUGAGGAAUAUUGGACAAUGGAGGAGACUCUGAUCCAGCCAUGCCGCGUGCAGGAAGACGGUCCUAUGGAUUGUAAACUGCUUUUAUACAGGAAGAAUAAGGACUACGUGUAGUCUGGUGACGGUACUGUAAGAAUAAGGACCGGCUAACUCCGUGCCAGCAGCCGCGGUAAUACGGAGGGUCCGAGCGUUAUCCGGAAUUAUUGGGUUUAAAGGGUCCGUAGGCGGGCUGUUAAGUCAGGGGUGAAAGUUUGCAGCUCAACUGUAGAAUUGCCUUUGAUACUGAUGGUCUUGAAUUAUUGUGAAGUGGUUAGAAUAUGUAGUGUAGCGGUGAAAUGCAUAGAUAUUACAUAGAAUACCGAUUGCGAAGGCAGAUCACUAACAAUUGAUUGACGCUGAUGGACGAAAGC